rnacentral:rRNA from 1 species
AGAGUUUGAUUCUGGCUCAGGAUGAACGCUAGCGAUAGGCCUAACACAUGCAAGUCGAGGGGCAGCACAUGAAGUAGCAAUACGGAUGGUGGCGACCGGCGCACGGGUGAGUAACGCGUAUGCAACCUGCCUACAACAGGGGAAUAACCCGUUGAAAGACGGACUAAUACCCCAUAACACAGGGAUCCCGCAUGGGAAUAUUUGUUAAAGAUUUAUCGGUUGUAGAUGGGCAUGCGUUCCAUUAGCUUGUUGGUGAGGUAACGGCUCACCAAGGCAACGAUGGAUAGGGGAACUGAGAGGUUUAUCCCCCACACUGGUACUGAGACACGGACCAGACUCCUACGGGAGGCAGCAGUGAGGAAUAUUGGUCAAUGGACGCAAGUCUGAACCAGCCACGUCGCGUGAAGGAAGACGGCCCUACGGGUUGUAAACUUCUUUUGUAAGGGAAUAAAGUGUAGUACGUGUACUAUUUUGCAUGUACCUUACGAAUAAGGAUCGGCUAACUCCGUGCCAGCAGCCGCGGUAAUACGGAGGAUCCGAGCGUUAUCCGGAUUUAUUGGGUUUAAAGGGUGCGCAGGCGGGAGAUUAAGUCGGCGGUGAAAUCUUGCAGCUCAACUGUAAAAGUGCCUUCGAAACUGGUUUCCUUGAGUGUGGAUGAAGUAGGCGGAAUUUGUGGUGUAGCGGUGAAAUGCAUAGAUAUCACGAGGAACUCCGAUUGCGCAGGCAGCUUACUAAACCAUAACUGACGCUCAGGCACGAAGGCGUGGGGAUCAAACAGGAUUAGAUACCCUGGUAGUC